UACGUAGGGUGCAAGCGUUAAUCGGAAUUACUGGGCGUAAAGCGUGCGCAGGCGGUGAUGUAAGACAGAUGUGAAAUCCCCGGGCUCAACCUGGGAACUGCAUUUGUGACUGCAUCGCUGGAGUGCGGCAGAGGGGGAUGGAAUUCCGCGUGUAGCAGUGAAAUGCGUAGAGAUGUGGAGGAACACCGAUGGCGAAGGCAGCCCCCUGGGCUGAGAUUGACGCUCAGGCACGAAAGCGUGGGGAGCAAACAGG
rnacentral:rRNA from 1 species